GAGUGUUUAGCUUAGCGGUAAAGCAAUUGGCUUUUAACCAAAUGAUCUUAGGUUCGAUUCCUAAAAUACUCA
rnacentral:tRNA from 1 species